UACGUAGGUCACAAGCGUUAUCCGGAAUUAUUGGGCGUAAAGGGUCUUUAGGUUGUUAAGCGGGUCUUCGGUUAAAUCCCCCAACUCAAUUGGGGUCUCGCCGAAGAAACUACUUAGCUCGAGGUUUGCAGGGGCAUAUGGAAUUCCCGGUGUAGCAGUGAAAUGCGUUGAUAUCGGGAAGAACACCAAUGGCGAAGGCAGUAUGCUAGGCAUUCCUGACACUGAAGGACGAAAGCGUGGGGAGCGAAUGGG
rnacentral:rRNA from 1 species